rnacentral:lncRNA from 1 species
UUAUAGGGUCCCUUAUAGGGUCUGUUAUAGGGUUCCUUAUAGGGUCCCUUAUAGGGUUCCUUAUAGGGUUCCUUAUAGGGUCUGUUAUAGGGUUGGUUAUGGGAUCCCUUAUAGGGCCGGUUAUGGGAUCCCCUAUAGGGCCGGUUAUGGGGUCUGUUAUAGGGUCCCUUAUAGGGUCCCUUAUAGGGUCUGUUAUAGGGUCCCUUAUAGGGUCCCUUAUAGGGCCGGUUAUGGGGUCUGUUAUGGGGUCUGUAGUUAUAUAGGGUCCCUUAUAGGGUCUGUUAUAGGGUUCCUUAUAGGGUCUGUUAUAGGGUCCCUUAUAGGGUCUGUUAUAGGGUUCCUUAUAGGGUCCCUUAUAGGGUCCCUUAUAGGGUCUGUUAUAGGGUCCCUUAUAGGGUCUGUUAUAGGGUCUGUUAUAGGGUCCCUUAUAGGGUCUGUUAUAGGGUUCUUUAUAGGGUUCCUUAUAGGGUCUGUUAUAGGGUCUGUUAUAGGGCCCCUUAUAGGGUCUGUUAUAGGGUCUGUUAUAGGGUCCCUUAUAGGGUCCCUUAUAGGGUCUGUUAUAGGGUCCCCUAUAGGGUUCCUUAUAGGGUCCCUUAUAGGGUUCCAUAUAGGGUCCCUUAUAGGGUCUGUUAUAGGGUCCCUUAUAGGGUCUGUUAUAGGGUCCCUUAUAGGGUCAGUUAUAGGGUCCCUUAUAGGGUUCCUUAUAGGGCUGGUUAUAGGGUCCCUUAUAGGGUCCCUUAUAGGGUCUGUUAUAGGGUCCCUUAUAGAAUCUGUUAUAGAGUCCCUUAUAGGGUCUGUUAUGGGGUCUGUUGUUAUAUAGGGUUCCUUAUAGGGUCCCCUAUAGGGUCUCACCCCACACUGCUGGCUAUGGGGUCCCCUAUGGGUCUGGUUAUGGGGUAUAUUAUAGGGUUCCUUAUAGGGCCCCUUAUAGGGUCCCUUAUAGGGUCCCUUAUAGGGUCACUUAUAGGGUCUGUUAUAGGGUCCCUUAUAGGGUCUGUUAUAGGGCCAGCUAUAGGGUCUGUUAUAGGGUCUGUUAUAGGGUCCCUUAUAGGGUCUGUUAUAGGGUCCCCUAUAGGGCCGGUUAUAGGGUCUGUUAUAGGGUCCCCUAUAGGGUCUGUUAUAGGGUCCCCUAUAGGGCCGGUUAUGGGGUCCCUUAUAGGGUAUGUUAUAGGGUCCCUUAUAGGGUUCCUUAUAGGGUUCCUUAUAGGGUCCCUUAUAGGGUCUGUUAUAGGGUCCCUUAUAGGGCCGGUUCUGGGGUCCCUUAUAGGGCCGGUUAUGGGGUCUGUUAUGGGGUCUGUUGUUAUAUAGGGUCCCCUAUAGGGCCGGUUAUAGGGUCCCCUAUAGGGUCUCACCCCACACUGCUGGCUGUGGGGUCCCCUAUAGGGCCUUAUAGGGCCGGUUAUGGGGUCUGUUAUGGGGUCUGUUGUUAUAGGGUAUGUUAUAGGGUCCCUUAUAGGGUCUGUUGUUAUAGGGUCCCUUAUAGGGUUCCUUAUAGGGUCCCCUAUAGGGUCUCACCCCACACUCUUGGCUGUCGGUGACUCUGAGCCGGUCGCUGCCGGGUUCCAGCCGUUCCCCAUUGGCCGCAAUGAGUUUUAACGGGGGGAUGGCGCCCCCUGCUGGACACCGCCGGGAAACGCUCUGAGUGGCCG